AGAACGAACGCUGGCGGCAUGCCUAAUACAUGCAAGUCGAACGAACUCUUCGGAGUUAGUGGCGCACGGGUGCGUAACGCGUGGGAAUCUGCCCCUUGGUUCGGAAUAACAGUUGGAAACGACUGCUAAUACCGGAUGAUGACGAAAGUCCAAAGAUUUAUCGCCAAGGGAUGAGCCCGCGUAGGAUUAGCUAGUUGGUGAGGUAAAGGCUCACCAAGGCAACGAUCCUUAGCUGGUCUGAGAGGAUGAUCAGCCACACUGGGACUGAGACACGGCCCAGACUCCUACGGGAGGCAGCAGUAGGGAAUAUUGGACAAUGGGCGAAAGCCUGAUCCAGCAAUGCCGCGUGAGUGAUGAAGGCCUUAGGUGUAAAGCUCUUUUACCCGAGAUGAUAAUGGCAGUAUCGGAGAAUAAGCCCCGGCUAACUCCGUGCCAAGCAGCCGC
rnacentral:rRNA from 1 species